rnacentral:rRNA from 1 species
UACGAAGGGGGCUAGCGUUGCUCGGAAUCACUGGGCGUAAAGGGUGCGUAGGCGGGUCUUUAAGUCAGGGGUGAAAUCCUGGAGCUCAACUCCAGAACUGCCUUUGAUACUGAGGAUCUUGAGUUCGGGAGAGGUGAGUGGAACUGCGAGUGUAGAGGUGAAAUUCGUAGAUAUUCGCAAGAACACCAGUGGCGAAGGCGGCUCACUGGCCCGAUACUGACGGCUGAGGCACGAAAGCGUGGGGAGCAAACAGG